AGAUGAUCUCACCCAUCCACGGAAUUCAUCCAACAGCUGCUGCUGUUUGUCGUACAUAAAUCGUACAAUCUUGGUCUUACAUGUAGCAACGCUCAAUUAGAAAUGACAAUCAAGUGCAACAAGAUAACCGAGCAGAGGUUCAUAAUUUAAAUGCUCAAAACUUUAACAUUGUUCACGUUCAUUGCCAAUCUCCAUCAAACUUCCUAACCCCAGAUCGUUAACAAAACUAUGUUUCUGGAAUACAUUGAUAGCACAACUAACUGAGACCUCGACCAAAACAUUCGGAUCAGAAAGAUAUGAAAAUGGAGACAUAAGGCAUGGAUCUUCAGGCGGUUUCAGUCACAGGGUACUCAAAGACAACGUCUUUCCCACAAAGCCUGCGGUAGACUGCAGAGAAGGUCUCCAGCUUGUAUUCAGUGUUGUUGCGCUCCUUUGGGUCCAAGUAGAUCUGGAAGAACAUCAAGAUAAGAUCAGCACUAGAUUUGAGUGCUAAGUGCAAGAUGCUGCUAGGAGAACUUGCCAAACAAGAAUCAUAUCAAACAGUACCAGUUGUAGAACAACUGCAGCCACCAAAUGAGUACAUGCAUGCUUUAACUUCUAACAGGGUAUUUAUAUGAUGAUCAAUAAACUCAAAAGUUGAAUGGACUACCUUGAUGACCUUGGCACCAUCCAAACGGUAUCUGACACGCUUCCCCACAAUCUCAGCUGGGUACACGACAUCCUCCAAGAUACCAUCAUGAACAGCUGUCAGGGUCCUGGUGCGAGGGCGCUGAACAGCAGAACCCUUCUUGGGUGGCCUCACAAUCCUUCUUGUUGCAACAAAGACAACAUCCUGUACAAGUGAAGCACAUUUAUUAAAUUUCAUUGUUCCAAUUUUUAUCAACAUCAUUUCAGAGUUCAAACAAACUCCUCAAGCUAAACAACAUGUUACAGUUUUUAUACUGAUGAUCUGGGACGAAGUGCAAGGAGCUCAAGUGUAGCCAAUAAGCUUGGAGGCAAAGAUUUACAGUACAAACAUGAAAAAAAGAACAGUAGAACUUCAGUUUGACGACUGCAAUUAGCUUAUUAUAGAUGCCAACGAUGGCUACCUAUUGAGCAAUUUGCUUUCAUUUAAAUGCAACCAACGGAAAACUUGAGGUAAACAUGCUCAUGGAUACGACCUUGCCAUGAUACAUUUAUGUCUUAACCAACUUCAUAGACUAAUGAUGUUGUGAUUUAUUAUGCUCUGAGGUGCCGUUAAUUUUGACAUUCACAUCCUAACACGGAAACAACAGAUUCUAGUAUACUCAGUCAGCUCCCAAUAACGUAUCUAAGUGUUCAGCACUGCUACUGCAAGAUACUAUUUACAAAUUACAACAAUUGUGCAGCAACUUAAACAUGCGCUUAGACAGAAACUGAUGAAGCGAAGCACAACAAAGUAAACAAGAAUAAGCAAUUCACCUUGCCGCUAAACUUCUUCUCCAGCUCCCUGACGAGCCUGACAUGGAUCUUCCUGAAGGGCUUGCGCAGACGGUACGGCAC
rnacentral:lncRNA from 1 species